AUGUGGUAGUCAAAACAUAAUAACUAAAAAUAUAAUUUAUUCGGCCACUGAUCUGGCAGCAGAUCUGGAAGCAAUGCUUGAGUGCCAAGGCAAACAUAUUCUAUUUUAAUUACUUAUGUGUCAAUGUUAAAAAGAAAUGAAGUAUCUUGCCAGCAAAGAUUCUGCUAGGCUGUAAUGUUAAAUUAAAAAGACAACCGAAAGUAAUAGGUGAUCGUCGGUGAAAGAACGACCGCCUAGGCGACUACCCUGUUCGGGCCCUACUCCGGCUUCUACGCCUUUUCUAUGAGGUCAAAUGCAAUUAGACUUCUUUAAAAUUCAGAAAAAUUGGCAGUUCCAUCAAUGUUGCACCUUACAUCGGCCAUUCUUCUUGAUUUCAUAGCUCUCUCGCUAGCAAUUGCAGCAAAGCACAGGAGAACUACUGUCGAGAUUGGCUUUCAUGAGGAAUUGGCAUAUGAAUUCGAAAUACAUUAUUAAUACUGCAAAUACAAUUCAGACAUUGCUACUAGUUUGGGAUCGAGUGGAUUUACUGUACUUCUCACAAGUCGGUUACUUACCAUGGGACCUAAUAUUUUCUUGUGCUUCAAGAAACGUCUCAAACAUGAAUCUUGCCGGACAUGUGCCCUUGUUCUUCCCAUAAUUAUUGGUUGAUAGAUUUAUAAUGAUUAUAAUGGGUUCCUUACACAUUUGUUUAAUUAAAUUUUCUUCUUUUUAUGCAUUUAAGCUUUGAAGAUUUCUAGUUUGUGGUUUUGGGUGUAUCCGCUAUUGAUAAUAGUGAAAAACAGGCUUAUUUGCACCUGUAGUCCCUCAUUUUGGGGCCUUUUAUCA